CCUGGGACCCUGGCCCUCGCCGGGCAGGACGCCGCCAGCGCUGAAGGCGCAGCCCGGAGGCCGCGCGGGUAUGAAACAGCAACAGGGCAAGAGGAGGAAACCAUGCCACGCUGCAAAGCUCUGAGCACGAAGCCGAGAAGAAUCUCGGCUCCCGGCCUCGGGGGCUGCGCUUCGGGCCAGGCCUGCACUCCCAGGAUGCGAGGAUGGCCCCCUGCCCCAGGGGUGGCAUGGGGGCGCGCAAAAAGCAAAGGUGACCCUGCCAGGGAGCACCCAGCGCUCCGGUUGGUGGUCAUGGGGUCUUUGCGUGGGACUCACAGUGUGGCCGGGAAAGUUCUGUAAUGAGGACAUUUCUCAUCAUUCCUUCUUCUCAAAAGUCAUUCGUCAGCCCCAGACACCUUUGCCUCGGAAAACUGGGAACUACUUUCAACAUCGUCAACACCCCCAUCUCCUGCUACAGAGCGGAGUCCCCACUUUGCAGAGGCGCACUGCAAGGUCGCGGGUGGUUAAAUGGUGCGCCCUCCUUGAUGAAGAUGCCUUGUUCUCUUUCACUCUCUUUAUGUGUGUUUAAUGUUGUGUGUUGCGUUCUCUGUGAAGCGAAGGAUAAACACGGGCCCUUUCAGGCAACGGAAGGAAGAAGGCGGCCAGCAUCAGAUCUUCCCGUGCUUCAAGGUGGAGCACCCUGCAGGGCUUACUGCAGCGCUCAGGGUCAAAGUGAGGAUGCAGUGCGGCACCAAAAGGCAAAUGUACCCUGGAGAGCCACUCUCACCUUGUACCCCUGGAGUAGACCCCGAGGACUGGAGGACUGGAACAAGAUCUUAGUCCUGAGGGUGGGAGAAGCAGCCUUUGGUGGCUGCACAGGGGCCCGGCUUUUCCCGAAGUCUUAAAGCCUGCUCCAAAUGCCAGAUUCAGACAAAGGGGCCGAACCUUGGGCCCGCCGCCUUCUCCCAUAAGCCGCAACCCAGCAGCUUUGCUAGGAAGUUUACAUGUGAAGGUAGGGACCUUUCUUGGAAUGAGCCACACCUGAUGGCCCUGCCACUCCUGAUGGCCCUGCCACUCCGGACGGCGCUCGUUCACUGCUGUCCCUGGAGCAGACACGGUUCUGCGCACACACCUGGGCGCCGGAGAAACAGGGCACCCAAAGCGGGCCCAGGCCCUCGGACUCAGCGAGCUGGACACGUGUCCCCAUCACCCGCGGCUGGCGGGAGCAGUGUUUCUACUCCCUUCCCUCCCCUCCUCCCGCCCCGCAGAUGUGCUGUCUCUCCCGGCCUCCCCCCGCGCCCAGCACAGUGGUUUCUGCUUGGCUGUUCCCCUGUCUCUGAGAUGGUCUCUCCCUGCUGCUUGCCCUACACAUUCUCCCACACACGCGCGCGGGAUGCCCCUGUCGGCGUGGUUGUCAAUGCCUGCUCCCCUGCCCCCCAGUCCAAUCUCCACGACUCUGGGCCCUGUCGCUUCAUUCUAAAGCCUUCCGCUCACGAGCCCUCCCGACGACCGACCCCCAGGAGGCUACUGGAGAUGCAGGAUUUGGACCCGUGCCGGACCCGCACCCGGACAGAUCCCUCUGAAUGAAUGAAUGAAUUAAUGAGCAGGCUGCAUCCUGAUUAGGUUAAGGUGGGUGGUUGCCAUGCUUGGCGUUGGCUCUGUCCCCUGGGAUAAAAGGCGAGAGGCAGCCACAUGGACAGCUCCUCCAGUGGGGUCUCAGACUGGAGAGACGCCAGCGGGCGGGGGUCGUUCCCUGGAGCUCCCGCAUUUGUUAUGGUCGAUGCCCCACUACGUUGUCACCUUCUCCGGAGGACCUCCUGCUCUGUCCUUGACAGAUGGGCCCCAGUGGGCCCACCCAGGCUGGAGAUGAAUCUCAAAGGGACUCCAUGCCUGGGAGACCUCAGCCAAGCAGGGCAGAGAAAUAAUCAGACAACAGUCAGUGCAUGGCGCCUGCAGAGUUUUGCACAGGGUCCUUCAGAAGGAGGGUUAGGGAAGACUUCUUGGGGGUUAGGGCAGUUAAGCAAAAUGGAUAAAGAAAGCAACCACUUAUGUCUGCAUAUUUUCUUCAUUUCAUCUUCACAACAGCCCUGAGAUAGGUACUUGUUUUACAGCUGAGGUAUAAAUUGGGGUUCAGAGAGAUUGAGUGCUUUCACCAUGAACAAGUGACAGACAGCAAUGACUUGAACCGCGUUACCUGAUGCCACCGCUGGUCUUAACCUCCAUGUUAUUAGCGUAUUGGGUAAGUGAAACCGUGUGAGCCAAGCAGCUGGGGUGAGAAACAGCACGGAGUAGAGGAGAGGGCUGCAGAAAGGCGUGAUGUUUCUGGAGCACCGAAUUCUACUCACGAACACAGGAGUGGAGGCGGGAAGGGGACACUGGAAGCCACGGAGGGCCUUGUCAGCCACAGUAAGGAAUGUGGACCUGGUCCUCAGGGUGGUGAGGGGAUGGCCCCCCAUCCAGAGGUUUCUCACAGGGGAGUGAUUCAGCCUGUCUCUGCCGCAGUCAGGAGGAAGGAUGCAAUGAGAGAGGGAAAGUGGAGAGGCGGAUGGCGGUGCAAUCUACUCCAGGUCAUGCUUCUUACCAUCUCCCUCAUUAUUCAUCCACAGAAAAUGAUUGCUGUUAUAUGACACACUGGUUAACAAAGGAGGGGGCUGUUUGCAGACAGAAACAACCAACCCAGGGCCUCCAGCCAUCCAAAGAUUCUGCACAGCCAGCCACCCCUAAGGCUAAGAAAUCCCAGGUACAUGCACACCAGUCACAGCAUACCUGGACUCAGACAAUGACAGUGGAGAAUGAGGAACAAGAGCUGGGUUCAAGGAAUAAUUAGCAAGCAACGUUGGCAUUAUGUAGUGCAGGGACAAAGGAGGAGGGAGAUAGCCCGUGGGAUUCUGGACUAAAUUGGGCAAAUGGUAUGACAUGGUUAGGCUUUUGUGUCCCCGCCCCAAUCUCAUCUUGAAUUGUAAUACCCAAGUGUUGAGGGAAAGACCCGGUGGGAGAGGAUCGGAUCAUGGGGCGGUUUCCCCCACGCUGUUCUUCUGAUAGUUAGGGAGUUCUCAUGAGAUCUGAUGGUUCCAUAAGCGUCCGUCAUUUCCUCCACCCACACUCUCUCUUGCCACCUUGUGAAGAGGUGCCUGCUUCCCCUUCCGCUAUGACUGUAAGUUUCCUGAAACCUCCCCAGCAAUGUAGAACUGUGAGUCAAUGAAACCUCUUUUAUUUAGAAAUUGCCCAGUCUUGGGCAGUUCUUUAUAGCAGUGUGAGAAUAGAUUAACACAGUAAAUUGGUACCAAGAGUUUGAGACACUAAUACAUGGUAGUUCCCUGAUUGCUGUAGGGAGCAUGGGGACAGGGCUCGUUCCAGGGAAGGUGAUGAGUUCUUUUGGGCUGCCCUGUGUUUGAAGUAGGUACAGAAGCCUAAUGGGCAGUGGAGCAGGGCAGUGGAGUCAAACAGACCGGGUCCAUCUUCCAGCUUCACCAACUUAUUAGUUCCGUUACCUUUUGCAAAAAGCCUGUUCAUUUGUCUGUAAGACAGGGAUAAGAAUAGGUUUAUAGAGGCUGAGGUGGGAGGAUUGCUAGAGCCUGGGAGGCAGAGGUUGCAAUGAGCUGAGAUCAUGCCACUGCGCUCCAGCCUGGGUGACAG
rnacentral:lncRNA from 1 species